UACGUAGGACCAAGCGUUGUUCGGAUUUACUGGGCGUAAAGGGCGCGUAGGCGGCGUGGUAAGUCACUUGUGAAAUCUCUGAGCUUAACUCAGAACGGUCAAGUGAUACUGCUGUGCUAGAGUGCGGUGAUGGGCAAUCGGAAUUCUCGGUGUAGCGGUGAAAUGCGUAGAUAUCGAGAGGAACACCUGAGGUGAAGACGGGUUGCUGGGCCGACACUGACGCUGAGUGCGCGAAAGCCAGGGAGCAAACGGG
rnacentral:rRNA from 1 species